rnacentral:rRNA from 1 species
AUUGAACGCUGGCGGCAGGCCUAACACAUGCAAGUCGAGCGGAUGAAGGGAGCUUGCUCCUGGAUUCAGCGGCGGACGGGUGAGUAAUGCCUAGGAAUCUGCCUGGUAGUGGGGGAUAACGUCCGGAAACGGGCGCUAAUACCGCAUACGUCCUGCGGGUGAAAGUGGGGGAUCUUCGGACCUCACGCUAUCAUAUGAGCCUAGGCCGGAUUAGCUAGUUGGUGGGGUAAAGGCCUACCAAGGCGACGAUCGGUAACUGGACUGAGAGGAUGAUCAGUCACACGGGAACUGAGACACGCUCCAGACGCCUACGGGAGGCAGCAGUCGGGAAUAUUAGACAACGGGGGAAAGUCUGAUCCAGUCAGGCGGCGUGUGAGAAGAAGGUCUUCGGAUUGUAAAGCACUUUAAGUUGGGGGGAAGGGCAGUAAGUUGAGACCUUGCUGUUUUGACGUUACCAACAGAAGAAGCACCGGCUAACUUCGUG